rnacentral:rRNA from 1 species
CCUACGGGAGGCAGCAGUGGGGGAUAUUGCACAAUGGACGGAAGUCUGAUGCAGCGACGCCGCGUGAGUGAAGAAGUAUUUCGGUAUGUAAAGCUCUAUCAGCAGGGAAGAAAGGCCCGCAAGGGAGAUGACGGUACCUGAGUAAGAAGCCCCGGCUAACUACGUGCCAGCAGCCGCGGUAAUACGUAGGGGGCAAGCGUUAUCCGGAUUUACUGGGUGUAAAGGGAGCGCAGACGGACAUGCAAGUCUGAUGUGAAAGCCCGGGGCUCAUCCCCGGGACUGCAUUGGAAACUGUAUAUCUGGAGUACUGGAAGGGUAAGCGGAAUUCCUGGUGUAGCGGUGAAAUGCGUAGAUAUCAGGAGGAACACCGGAGGCGAAGGCGGCUUACUGGACAGUAACUGACGUUGAGGCUCGAAAGCGUGGGGAGCAAACAGGAUUAGAUACCCUGGUAGUCCACGCUGUAAACGAUGAAUACCAGGUGUUGGGAGACACAGUCUCUCAGUGCCGGCGCAAACGCAUUAAGUAUUCCACCUGGGGAGUACGUUCGCAAGAAUGAAACUCAAAUGAAUUGACGG